rnacentral:rRNA from 1 species
UGCUGACGAGUGGCGAACGGGUGAGUAAUGUAUCGGAACGUGCCCAGUCGUGGGGGAUAACGCAGCGAAAGCUGCGCUAAUACCGCAUACGAUCUAUGGAUGAAAGCGGGGGACCGUAAGGCCUCGCGCGAUUGGAGCGGCCGAUAUCAGAUUAGGUAGUUGGUGGGGUAAAGGCUCACCAAGCCGACGAUCUGUAGCUGGUCUGAGAGGACGACCAGCCACACUGGGACUGAGACACGGCCCAGACUCCUACGGGAGGCAGCAGUGGGGAAUUUUGGACAAUGGGCGCAAGCCUGAUCCAGCAAUGCCGCGUGCAGGAAGAAGGCCUUCGGGUUGUAAACUGCUUUUGUACGGAACGAAACGGUCUNUGGUUAANUNAACCUGGGGCUAAUGACGGUACCGUAAGAAUAAGCACCGGCUAACUACGUGCCAGCAGCCGCGGUAAUACGUAGGGUGCGAGCGUUAAUCGGAAUUACUGGGCGUAAAGCGUGCGCAGGCGGUUUUGUAAGACAGGCGUGAAAUCCCCGGGCUCAACCUGGGAAUGGCGUUU